AUUUACCCUUUUCCAGCCAGCUAGUGCAAAUCCAGUUUUGAACAAUCAACUUGGCAUCCCUAAAUUGUCCAUUAAAAAUCUGAGACACCGAAAAAAGGUAAAUGUGUUAACAUGACUAUCUAUAUACAUCAAUUAACUUUUACAAAGCUAUUCCAUUUACCAACUCACUCAGAUGGAAUGACUUAGAAAUAGAAUAGAAGAAACCAUACUAUGCAAAGAGAAAACCCCUAACUUGCGGUUACUAUAUGUUAAUAAACAGAUUCUGACAUGCAAUUUCAGAUUCAUGAAAUCGAAUCGAGCAAAUCGAAACGUACAGUAGGAAUGCAAAUCGGCGAAAAUCGACGCAAAUGCCGACGGGCCUGUUACUUUCUUGUCUCUUCUGUAGAUUUUGAAAGCGUUGAGCCGGAAACUCAGACAACAGCAUCCUCUUCGCAAACGCCUUCUUAGUCAAACUAGCGCCGUGAUUAAAGUCGGGGAAAACACAGUACGGAGAGAAUCUGGGGUGGAACUACUCAAUUUCUCUGAUUGUUACCAAUAAAAAGUUAUUGUGGAAAAGGUGUGACUCUUAAAAAGACACAAUUUAUUUUUGCAGAAUAAUAAUUAUUAAUUUAAUAUUAUAACUAGUAGGUUUUCCCGGUUUCGAACAGGGACAAUAUGGUUAUAUUAUAUCAAAAGCAAGAGAAACAGUGAAAAGUUAAGGCAUUUAGUUAUAGGGUGAAUUAUAAUAUUUUUUGAUAGCCAUACAGUGCAAUUUCUCUAUUUAUUAUUUAUUUAGCUAGGCUAUUUUUAACCAACACUCAUAUAUUUGUAGAAACAAAAUAUGCCGCAUAUACAGGAUAUGAUCUCAUUUUAGAUCCAAAGUUAUAUAUGGUCUUUAAUCUAUAUUUGAAUUAUUAUUUUUUAAUCUAUAAUAGAAUUUGAUACAGCACAAUUGUCCUGCGUGUUGAGAGUACUACAUCUUAGUAAAAAGCUCAUAAAGGGGAGGAGUGUUAUACUAUCUCUCUAAAGUCUUUUCGAAUCCGUUGCUUAACUCUGGUUAUGUAUAUAAUGAAUCCGCUGAGAAAAUGGAACGAACGAUGGGUGAUAUUUGAUCCAACAACAGGAAAAAUGGAGUACAAGUGAGUAGUAUCAAUUACAUUUGUAUUAUCUCUCGUGUACUUCCAUGAUUCAUGACAAAACGAAACAAACCAACUAUAUCAAGGGAACAAUUUUGUUUGACAAACACAAUCACUAUUUCUCAUGUUUGUACUAGUGUCUUUGUAAGACCAUGCACGAUGCUUUCAACACCCAUUUCAUUUUUAACACCCAAUUUUUUUUUUAACAUUCCAUAUCAUCUUCUUUUUCAUCCACCUAAUUUAUUCAACAUCCUUUUCAUUUUUAACCUUUACACUGGUUUGUUUAUAAAUAUUCAACACUAUACCCCACCAUUUUUAAUUCAUAUUUUUAUCUUUAUAAUAUAAUCACUAUAUAUUAAUAAUAUUUUUGAUUCUAAUUAACUUAAAAACUAAAAUAAUGUAACUUUUAAUAAGAAAAAAUUUGAAUUUUAAAAAGGUUAUUAUUAGGAUUUAUUUAACAAAAAAGGUUUAAAACACUAAACUAGUUAAUUAGAGGAAAAAAUAACGUUUUUUUGUGUGUCCAAAUGAAAUAUAUAAGAGUAGUCUCUAUUUAUAGAUUGUAAAAAGUUAUGAAUUUUGAUAUAAUUUUAUUAUUUAAAAAUAAAAAUAUUAUAUAAUAAAUGAGUUUUAGUUAUUGGGUAAAAAUUAAAAAUAAAGUAAAUGUACACAACAUUUCUAUCUAAUCAAUUUAAGCCAAGUGGCAAAACUGGUCCACGUAAAAUUUUAUCAACAUGUUAAAUUUUCCAACGAAUGUUGAAUCCAUAGAGAUAGACACAAUAUUUCAACACUCUCAUUGCAGGGUAUUCAACAGUUGAAACUUAUUUUCAAUACCUCCACUGUGGGUGGUCUAACUUUUAUCAAAACUCUUUAAAUCAUAUAAAAUCUUAACAUUUUUACCAAAAAAAAAAAAAACAAACACAAUCACUAUUUCUCAUGACAAAAGUAAUCAACUAUAAAGUGUGUGGGUUUGGCUGCAUAUCCAUGAUGUAAAAUAUAUCGACCCACAUCCAUCUGAAAUCAUCCGCUUCGCAUAAACAAUUUGAAAAAAAUACCCAUAUCAGCCCCACGGCGGUCAAACGGUGUUGACCCACUAAACUAAAUUCCCAAUUCUACAAUAGUCCAGACUGUCCACUAAGGGGAUUCUUUUAUCUCCAAUGGCUAGUUUAAGACGUUGACAAAAAUCCGAAGACUUAGUAUGGCUUGCCGUUUAUGGAGUUUCAAAUUUGAAUUGACUUACUAUGAGUCCAACCACCAACCAUGACUUUCCUUAUUCUGAUAAUUUCCAUCCACUUCAAUACUUAUCCUAUCAUCCUCGUUCUCUGUAAAUAGCAGGCAUUCAGUGUAACAUUUUUCAUUCAUUACUUCUUUUUUUUUAUCAAGAUUGUUAUAACAUAAGCAGUUGAAUAAAAUGGCUUCCAAGGCUUUGUUUCUGUUGGGUUUCUUUACUCUUUUCCUCCUUGUCUCAGAAGUAGUCGGAGCAUCUGAAAGCCAGUCGGGCACUGUUAAAUUGGGGAGUGAGGAAACAAUCCAAAGUGGUGAUGGUGGCCGUGGAGGCUACAACGGAGAACGAAAUGGGGUAGACAAGGAAGGACCAAUUAAUGUGGGAUACAACAGAAAGGGACAAUGGGGAUACAGAUACUCGGGUUGCCACCACGGCUGCUGCUUACAAAUUAUUGGCUGCUAUAAAUGCUGUCCGUAAGUCGGAAAGCUGUUUAGAUUCAGUCUGGUCACUAAAACUAUAUAAUGCAUAAUGGUCUGUUGAGUUGUAACCUUUUCUACUUGAACAAUAAAAUGUUAGAGAUUCUAA